rfam:Myotis brandtii contig203065, whole genome shotgun sequence.
GGCGGUUCUCGGGUGAUGCACCCCAGAAUCAAGCUCCCUCCUCUCAAGUUCCAGGGUGCAUCACCUGAGAACCGCC